rnacentral:rRNA from 1 species
AACGAACGCUGGCGGCAUGCCUAACACAUGCAAGUCGAACGAGACCUUCGGGUCUAGUGGCGCACGGGUGCGUAACGCGUGGGAACCUGCCCUUAGGUUCGGAAUAACUCCCCGACAGGGGUGCUAAUACCGGAUAAUGUCUUCGGCCCAAAGAUUUAUCGCCUUUGGAUGGGCCCGCGUUGGAUUAGCUAGUUGGUAGGGUAAAAGCCUACCAAGGCGACGAUCCAUAGCUGGUCUGAGAGGAUGAUCAGCCACACUGGGACUGAGACACGGCCCAGACUCCUACGGGAGGCAGCAGUGGGUAAUAGUGGACAAUGGGCGAAAGCCUGAUCCAGCAAGGCCGCGUGAGUGAUGAAGGCCGUAGGGUUGUAAAGCUCUUUUACCCGGGAUGAUAAUGACAGUACCGGGAGAAUAAGCGCCGGCUAACUCCGUG